AACAGACGUUGCCGAAGAAGGAGUCUCCGACUACCUCACGCCCGCCGCUGGCCUGCACAUCAGGUCGCCGAGCCCGUACGCCGGUGUGAGCAGCCUGGGCUGCCGGGUGCUCGCCGUCCGGCAGCACACCACGGCGCGACACGGGGUCGUGGAGGCCGAGCUCACCCAGGUCGAGACCAUACGGUGGCAGUAGGAGGAGACUGAACACCAUGGUGGUGUGGGCGCCGAUUGAAAAUCACCAGUGAGUCCUACUUCAACUGCGAUGCAAUAUAAUUUGAUCGAAAAGGGACGGCAUGCUGAGGUGUACAAAGGACAGCUUGCUGAUGGACAGUUUGUGGCAAUUCAAGCUUACUGUAUCCUGAAAUUCAAGCUUAUUGUAUCCUGAUUUAACUGGAGUACAAUGUUGUAGCUUCACUUGUCUUCCAGUCAAAUACUCAUGUACUCCAACUUUAACUGGAGUAUACCCCAACUUAAUCAUAAUCAGUUGUUGCCUGUGGUGCUAUAUUAGUUAUACCAAGUUGAUGGUUUCGUUAAGUUGCAUGUACCCUGAAUUCAAGUAAAUUAAGUUGCCUGUACCAAGUUGAGUAUUUAACUUUUUUUUGAAUAGGAGGAUAACCCCUGGCCUCUGCAUCAGAAUGUUGCGCGGGAGGCCGAUGCGGGCAGGCGCCGCUGGUGGCUCUGCUGGGGCCGCCUUGGCGACGCCUACGCCAAGACAUUCUACCUCGUGUGAAAGAAAGAGAACUCGAGCCAAGGUGAUGGUGAUGGAAAUGAAAGAAAGAAAGAGAAGCUGGUAAGGAGUUCCUACCACAAAGAUGAGCAGAAGCAGGGGAGUUCGCUGGGAUGGAGGCGCUGGUGGCCUCGCCAUGGCCGUUGAGGAGGUGGGGGUAGAGGAGUUGAGCGCUGGCCAGGGCCAGGCGGGGCAGGAGGUGAGCGCUGGUCUGGAGGAGCCCGACAGAGAAGCAGGGACGACGAGGGGCCUGGCGGAGGGCCAAAGAGGAGCGCUGGCAUGGAGGAGCCCGACCGAGGGGCAAAGAGGGGCGCUGUCCUGGAGGAGCCCGACGGAGGGGCCUGGAGCAGCGCUGGCCUCGCGGAUGGAGGAGGAAGACGAUCUGUUUUCAAACUAGGGGUAUUUAUGUACUUUUGUACGUUUUCACCUGGUCGGAGAGAACUCCCAACGACAAUUAUUUCGGAACGGAGGGAGUACAUGCUAUUGACUUUAUUCAGCGGUGACAAUUCAAGGAAGAAAGCUAUUUUAUCUUUUCAA